rnacentral:tRNA from 1 species
GCACCCGUAGCUCAGCAGGAUAGAGCAACCGCCUCCUAAGCGGUAGGUCGGAGGUUCAAAUCCUCUCGGGUGCGCCA